UACGUAGGCAGCAAGCGUUGUUCGGAGUUACUGGGCGUAAAGGGUGCGUAGGCGGCUCUGUAAGUAUGGUGUGAAAUCUCCCGGCUUAACUGGGAGGGUGCGCUAUAGACUGCGGGGCUCGAGUGUGGGAGAGGUGCGUGGAAUUCCUGGUGUAGCGGUGAAAUGCGUAGAUAUCAGGAGGAACACCUGUGGCGAAAGCGGCGCACUGGACCACAACUGACGCUGAGGCGCGAAAGCUAGGGGAGCAAACAGG
rnacentral:rRNA from 1 species